GAUCUCCUCUCUUCUCUGGGUUCUUAGGAAGGGGCAGACCCUGUCCGGCGACAGUCUUUCUCAUGCCAGGCUUGAUAACGUCCGUGAUCUUCAUGUUGCACGUCUUCCCGUCUAUCGUUGACACGGGAAAACAACUUUUCAGGCAGACUAUGUACCGUACAGUCUGUCUCUGAUCAGACUCUAUUAAUACUACUAACACUGCCAAAACAGGAAAUGCCUCACCUGUCGUAAGCUCACACGAACGGUGUACACAAUGUUGGAACCUUCCCGCCUAAAGUGAGGGUGUGGCUUGUCCUUGAUGACGAAGACUAUGUCAGCAGGAAUGGUGUUUGGCGACUCGUCUCCCUCCCGUGGGAACGUGAUCUUGGUCCCCUCUUUCCAGCCUCUCUUGAUCUCAAUAGUGAGGAUCUUGUCCUCAUUGCGCAUGGUCCUACCGUCUGGAUUUAGCCUUUUGCGGGAGAUUUUCAUCCUCUUUGUGCAGCCGUGGAAGACCUCCUCCAGGGAGACCCUCAGUUCAUGGACGAUGGCCGGGUCCUGCUUCCGGCGCUGCUGCCCCCCCAUGCCUAUGUGGCCAUCCCGAGGGAAGCCGUUCAGGUUGAAGCUGGUGAACGAGCCAAAGGGGUCGUUUCCUUCCACAUCCAUGUCCUCGUCGUCGCGACCGUUGGUUUUGCGCCCAAAGAACAUCUCAAAGGGGUUUGAGCCACCAAAGAAAGUGGCAAAGGUGGCAUGAGGAUCCCCAUGGAAGGUGUAGGUGAAGGUGUUUCCUGGGCCUUCACCAGUGGGUCCACUUCCUCCCUUGAGACCUGGUGGAAAACAGAAAUGACUCAUGAGGAAUCCUGACAUUAACACAACAUUGUGGGAGAGCCUUAUGCAACAGAAGAUGACUCCUCUGAUGACAGGGAUGUUCAGUCCCACCUGCUGGACAAGUUUCAUACAACUGACCUUUCUAAGUGCCUUGUGUUUCAGCCAUGAGUGGACCAAUCCGCCUUCAAUUUGCUUUGUAGGGGACCAGUGAGUAUAGGCACAGUAUAUAUAUCACAAAAUGACCAACAGAAUUUUGAGUUGAGACAUUAGAGCAAAAUGUCUGUGGUCCAGUUCCAAAACAUAUUUAACAAUAAAAUGUACUGUAGGGUGCUUGCGAGAAGUUAUUCUCGCAUUUGUUAUUUUGUGACUUUGUUGUUUGAGAUCCUUUGUUCUGAUUUACCACAAAAAAACAACUAAACAACACAGCAGUAGACCAGCAUGUCCUGUGUUCCCGAAACCUGAAAUCACAUAUUUUCUGUAUGGACAUUGGUGCAGCAGAGUGAGCGGUUUCCAAACCUGAGCUGGAAAAUUUUCCUCAAAUAAAGUGGCAAACUUAGUCCUAACAUAGAUUUUAUUGGGUGAGUGGCUAAAAUCUGUUGUGUGCUCCUGCUGGCAGCCAUGUUUUCAGUGAUAAUACAAUUUUUUGACACUGGUUCUCUGUGCCAACAUUCAUUUAUUAUUUUUUUGUCCUGUGAGCACUUGUGCAUGAAAAAAAAAGGCUUUCUCAACCUGGGUCCUUGGGAGUAAGAAUUUGCAAAAUGUCACAUGACACAUUACAGAUUAAACACUGACUUAAAAGAGACAUUUCCCAAAUUCAUGUGUGUACAUUUUCAUGCUACCAUGGAAAUGAAUCAACACAUUAUUUCACUCUUUCACAUUUGAAUAUGUGGAUGCAAAAACCAAUCAGUGGUCUCUUUCUCCUUUUCUCUCAUGAAACAUGCUACCCACCCAUGACCAUCUGGACUGACAAUUAACCAUUUAACUGCAGAUACAGUUCAAUAGGUUCCACAUAAUUCAACUAAAUGUACAGUCCUGUACAGUGUGUCUGUAAAGCUGAUUGCUGGGCCCUGAAUUAAAGCCAGAUGAGUGUUAUAUGUACCUAUAUAUUCAAUAAUCCAGGUUUUAUACGGGUGUACUGAGAACACACUGGGGUUUAAAUGGUAGGAUGAAAUAAAGCAUACACGUACCUUCCUCUC